GACCAUGGAGUUCGACUGUGGGGGCGUGAGACAGCAGCUAAGCAAGUACAAGUUCAGGGACCUGACUGUAGAAGAGCUGAAGAGCGUGAGCAGGUCUUUCCCGCACUUCAGAUAUUCCAUGGACACCUACGUUUUCAAAGAUACUUCCCAAAAAGACCUGCUGAAUUUCACUGGUACAAUCCCUGUGAUGUAUCAGGGUAAGACAUACAACAUACCCAUUCUCUUCUGGAUCUUGGAUUCUCGCCCUUUUGCUCUGCCCAUUUGCUUCUUGAAGCCAACUGCAAACAUGGAAAUCUCAGUUGGAAAACAUGUGGAUGCCAAAGGCAGAAUAUACUUGCCCUAUCUCCAAAACUGGAGCCAUCCCAAAUCUACCAUUGUUGGAUUAAUUAAAGAAAUGAUCACCAAGUUUCAAGAGGAACUUCCUCUCUAUUCUAUACCACUGUCCAAUGAAGCACAGCAGGUGGACUUGCUGGCCUACAUUGCAAAAAUCACUGAAGGUGUCUCAGACAUAAAUUCAAGGGGCUGGGCAAAUCACGAGAGUAAAAUACCCAAUAAAAUCACUGUGGUUGGAAGUGGAGAUUUGGGUAUUGCUUGCACAUUAGCAAUUUCAGCAAAGGGCAUUGCAGACAAGCUGCUCCUUUUAGACCUCUCAGAUGGGACUAACCAACAGACGAUGGACCUCGAUAUCUUCAACCUGCCUAAUGUAGAGAUCAGCAAAGAUUUGUCUGCCUCUGCUCAUUCCAAGGUGGUGAUCUACACAGCCAACUCUUUGGGUAGUUCUGAAUCCUACCUGCAUGCAAUACAAAGUAAUGUGGACAUGUUCAGAGCUCUGGUUCCAGCUCUGGGACAUUAGAGUCAACAUGCUGUCUUGCUUUUGCCUCUCAACCAGUGGAAAUCAUGAGCUAUGUGACAUGGAAGCUGAGCACAUUUCCUGCGACUAGAGUGGUU